UACGUAGGGUGCGAGCGUUAAUCGGAAUUACUGGGCGUAAAGAGUGCGUAGGCGGUUUCUCAAGUCCGCUGUGAAAUCCCCGGGCUCAACCUGGGAAUGGCAGUGGAAACUAGGAGACUUGAAUCUGGCAGAGGGGGGUGGAAUUCCACGUGUAGCAGUGAAAUGCGUAGAGAUGUGGAGGAACACCGAUGGCGAAGGCAGCCCCCUGGGCUGAGAUUGACGCUCAGGCACGAAAGCGUGGGGAGCAAACGGG
rnacentral:rRNA from 1 species